ACUCAAAGGAAUAGACGGGGGCCCGCACAAGCGGCGGAGCAUGCGGAUUAAUUCGAUGCAACGCGAAGAACCUUACCUGGGUUUGACAUGGGCGGUUUACCGGCGGAGACGUCGGGUCCUUCGGGGCCGUUCACAGGUGGUGCAUGGCUGUCGUCAGCUCGUGUCGUGAGAUGUUGGGUUAAGUCCCGCAACGAGCGCAACCCUCGUUCGACGUUGCCAGCGGGUUAUGCCGGGGACUCGUCGGAGACUGCCGGGGUCAACUCGGAGGAAGGUGGGGAUGACGUCAAGUCAUCAUGCCCCUUAUGUCCAGGGCUUCACGCAUGCUACAAUGGCCGGUACAAUGGGCGGCGAUACCGUGAGGUGGAGCGAAUCCCAAAAAGCCGGUCUCAGUUCGGAUCGGGGUCUGCAACUCGACCCCGUGAAGUCGGAGUCGCUAGUAAUCGCAGAUCAGCAACGCUGCGGUGAAUACGUUCCCGGGCCUUGCACACACCGCCCGU
rnacentral:rRNA from 1 species